CACGUAGGGUGCGAGCGUUGUCCGGAAUUAUUGGGCGUAAAGAGCUCGUAGGCGGUGUGUCGCGUCGGCUGUGAAAACCCGAGGCUCAACCUCGGGCCUGCAGUCGAUACGGGCAAACUAGAGUACUGCAGGGGAGACUGGAAUUCCUGGUGUAGCGGUGAAAUUCGUAGAUAUCGGGAGGAACACCAGUGGCGAAGGCGGCUCUCUGGGCAGAUACUGACGCUGAGACGCGAAAGCAUGGGGGAGCAAACAGGG
rnacentral:rRNA from 1 species